rnacentral:rRNA from 1 species
GAUGAACGCUAGCUACAGGCUUAACACAUGCAAGUCGAGGGGCAGCAUUUUUAGUUUUGUCUUGCAAACUAAAGAUGGCGACCGGCGCACGGGUGAGUAAACACGUAUCCAACCUGCCGAUAACUCGGGGAUAGCCUUUCGAAAGAAAGAUUAAUAUCCGAUGGCAUAUCCCUUCCGCCUGGUUGGGAUAUUAAAGAACUUCGGUUAUCGAUGGGGAUGCGUUCCAUUAGCUUGUUGGCGGGGUAACGGCCCACCAAGGCUUCGAUGGAUAGGGGUUCUGAGAGGAAGGUCCCCCACAUUGGAACUGAGACACGGUCCAAACUCCUACGGGAGGCAGCAGUGAGGAAUAUUGGUCAAUGGACGAGAGUCUGAACCAGCCAAAGUAGCGUGAAGGAUGAAGGUCCUAUGGAUUGUAAACUUCUUUUAUAACGGGAAUAAAGUGCAGUAUGCAUACUGUUUUGUAUGUACCGUAUGAAUAAGGAUCGG